AUACGUAGGGUGCGAGCGUUGUCCGGAAUUACUGGGCGUAAAGAGCUCGUAGGUGGUUUGUCGCGUCGUCUGUGAAAUUCCGGGGCUUAACUCCGGGCGUGCAGGCGAUACGGGCAUAACUUGAGUACUGUAGGGGAGACUGGAAUUCCUGGGGUAGCGGUGAAAUGCGCAGAUAUCAGGAGGAACACCGGUGGCGAAGGCGGGUCUCUGGGCAGUAACUGACGCUGAGGAGCGAAAGCAUGGGUAGCGAACAGGAUUAGAUACCCUGGUAGUCCAUGCCGUAAACGGUGGGCGCUAGGUGUAGGGGUCUUCCACGACUUCUGUGCCGUAGCUAACGCAUUAAGCGCCCCGCCUGGGGAGUACGGCCGCAAGGCUAAAACUCAAAUGAAUUGGCGGGG
rnacentral:rRNA from 1 species